rnacentral:rRNA from 1 species
UGCAGUCGAACGGAAAGGCCCAGCUUGCUGGGUACUCGAGUGGCGAACGGGUGAGUAACACGUGGGUGAUCUGCCCUGCACUCUGGGAUAAGCCUGGGAAACUGGGUCUAAUACCGGAUAUGACCAUGGGAUGCAUGUUCUGUGGUGGAAAGCUUUUGCGGUGUGGGAUGGGCCCGCGGCCUAUCAGCUUGUUGGUGGGGUAAUGGCCUACCAAGGCGACGACGGGUAGCCGACCUGAGAGGGUGAUCGGCCACACUGGGACUGAGACACGGCCCAGACUCCUACGGGAGGCAGCAGUGGGGAAUAUUGCACAAUGGGCGCAAGCCUGAUGCAGCGACGCCGCGUGAGGGAUGACGGCCUUCGGGUUGUAAACCUCUUUCACCAGGGACGAAGCGUGAGUGACGGUACCUGGAGAAGAAGCACCGGCCAACUACGUGCCAGCAGCCGCGGUAAUACGUAGGGUGCGAGCGUUGUCCGGAAUUACUGGGCGUAAAGAGCUCGUAGGCGGUUUGUCGCGUCGUCUGUGAAAUUCUGCAACUCAAUUGUAGGCGUGCAGGCGAUACGGGCAGACUUGAGUACUACAGGGGAGACUGGAAUUCCUGGUGUAGCGGUGAAAUGCGCAGAUAUCAGGAGGAACACCGGUGGCGAAGGCGGGUCUCUGGGUAGUAACUGACGCUGAGGAGCGAAAGCGUGGGUAGCGAACAGGAUUAGAUACCCUGGUAGUCCACGCCGUAAACGGUGGGUACUAGGUGUGGGUUCCUUUUCACGGGAUCCGUGCCGUAGCUAACGCAUUAAGUACCCCGCCUGGGGAGUACGGCCGCAAGGCUAAAACUCAAAGGAAUUGAC